rnacentral:SRP_RNA from 1 species
GCUGGGUGGGUACAGUGGCAGACACCUAGAGUUCCAGUUACUUGGGAGGCUGAGGCAGAAGUUUCACUUGAGUCUAGGAAUUCUGGGCUGUAGUGUGCUACACCAAUUGUGUGUCCACAAUAAAUUCAACAUCAAUAUGGUGACCAUCUGGGAGCAGGGGACCACCAGGUUGCCUAAGAAUGGGUGAACUGGCCCAGGUCAGAAAUGAAGCAGGUUAAAACUGCAGUGCUGGGGUAUGGUGGCUCUCAUCUGUAAUCCCAGCACUUUAGGAGGCUAAGAUGGGAUGACUGCUUGA